GGGGGACGACCCGCCCUGAGCUGCGCUCCCCGCCCGGGCCUCUUCCGCCUCCGUUUCCUCAGCUGCCGGGAGCUGCCCGGAGAACCAGGCGCCUCCCAGUUGCUUUCGCCUCCCGCGUUGUUCGGCCAGAGCCUCGGCGCUGCUGCGUUUUGACUGGAGAUCUGAACGCUGCGUUAGGCCCCUUUCCCGUGAGCAGCAGAAGCCAGUUCUCCUGCCUUAACCACGGGAAUCACCGCCAGGCAGCGGGCGGUUCCCUGGAGGGCAGGGAGGGCUGGGGCCCCGGCCGCUCCAGAGGGUCCCAGGGCAGGAGGGACGCGUCGACGCCCAUCCCAGCACAGGGGCCUCUCCAAGUUUCUUGCUGAAGACAUCCACAGGUCUUAACCAGGCUGGUCCACCGCGGUCUUGUGAUUCGAGGCACAGUAAGUGGCCCCUUACUUUCCUUCUCUACUUGACUUUUCUGGAUUCGAAAGAGCGUUUGUCAAACCUACAAAAAGAUGACGACUGAUGGUUUUUACAAGGUGUGAACCAUGAAGAGUGAUCCCAUGCCACCCAGGAUGGGGUUGAACAUUGACAUUGCUACAGACCUGUAUUAGGUGGAAAUAGCACUGAACCCCCAAAGGAAUCUAACAACAUGUAAGACAGGAUAUUUUUUGGCUGGGCGUGGUGGCUCACGCCUGUAAUCCCAGCACUUUGGGAGGCCAAGGCAGGCGGAUCACGUGAGGUCAUAAGUUCGAAACCAGCCUGGCCAAUAUGGUGAAACCCUGUCUCUACUAAAAAAAUACAGAAAAAAAAAAUUAGCCAGGCGUGGUGCUGGGCGCCUGUAAUCCAGCUACUCAGGAGGCUGAGGCAGGAGAAUGGCGUGAAUCCAGGAGGCGGAGGUUGCAGUGAGCCGAGAUGGCGCCACUGCACUCCAGCCUGGGCGACAGAGAGAGACUCCGUCAAAAAAAAAAAAAAAUUCCUGUCCUCCCCCACCCUUGUGAUAAUGUACUUUGUGAUAUUCCCCGUCCUUGUGAAUGUACUUUGUAACAUUCCUCCCCGCCCCUGUGACAAUACACCCUCCCCACCCUUAUGAAUGUACUUUGUAACGUCCAUCCCCUGCCCGAAAAAAUUGCUGCUAACUCCACCGCCUAUCCUAUCCCAAACCUAUAAGAACCAAUGAUAGGCCCACCACCCUCCUCUGACUCCUUUCUCAGACUCAGCCCCCUUGCACCCAAGUGAAUAAACAGCCUUGUUGCUCACACUAAGCCUGUUUAGGUGGCCUCUUAUACAGACGCGCAUAACACCUACAUUCUUCUGGAUUCAUCGAAUCUAACUUUCUUCCAUAGAAUUACUAAAAAUGGAAACUUCUCUGUUCCUGAAGUCCUAUCAGCUAAAACUAGAUGAAUUCUCCAAAAGAAGCCUUGCGUCUGAUGUGUGGGCCACACAAAAGUUCACUGUACCUCCCAAUGCCAUAGUCAGAGACAUUCGAACUGCAAACCAGGUCGCGAAUAGGACGUUUCAUGCUGUAGACGGCUUUCCCUAGACGCCGGCGAACAGGACUCCUGUCAUGAUGACGCUCUUACCCAUCUCAAUGCCCACCUCUCCCACGGGGCAGGACGGUGGUGUCGCUGAACUUCCACGAUCCGCGGCUUCUGCUGGAACUCCACAGAACCUGACCCAGGAGAUCCCUUAGUCUCUUCUGGUUAAGUAAGGAAAUGCCUGUGCUGUUGCUGCCACCACACGCUGCACCUGGAGAAACUCCUCUGGGAAAGCUGAGACCCACAUGCACAAAAUAAGAAAACAGGCCACAGGGUCGCAGCCGGUCUCACCCACCGUGAGGUUAUCUGAUUUAUUCCCUUGGUUGCCUUUACGGCUGGGUUCGUGACAAAGCCACUGUGCAAACUGGGAUUGCCACAUUACUAUUAAUUUUACCUUGUAUUUCCCCUUUUGAAGCUUUGCGUUUGUUCCUUGUUAAAUUUUGAAGUACAACUCCUCGCAGGAUCAUGCUGGCCCAGCGCGUCGAGAUGACAGCAAGAGACUCCAAAGCAGACAAAACUGAACUCAGUAACGGGCCCCAGGGGGCCUCAGCCCAGGCACCACACCCUCCAAACCUCCCCUAUUGCUCAACUGUGGCUAAAAGGGUUUUGACAUUGACUCCUAGUCACCACCCACCGUAACCCCACCCGGUGUGGGGAAAGACCAGCAACCAGGACAUCCCUGGGACAUCAAAACCUAAGUUCAGGGCCG
rnacentral:lncRNA from 10 species